rnacentral:rRNA from 1 species
CCUACGGGAGGCAGCAGUGAGGAAUAUUGGUCAAUGGGCGCGAGCCUGAACCAGCCAUGCAGCGUGCAGGAUGACGGCCCUACGGGUUGUAAACUUCUUUUAUAAAGGAAUAAAGUGAGGCACGUGUGUCUUUUUGUAUGUACUUUAUGAAUAAGGAUCGGCUAACUCCGUGCCAGCAGCCGCGGUAAUACGGAGGAUCCGAGCGUUAUCCGGAUUUAUUGGGUUUAAAGGGAGCGUAGGUGGGUGGGUAAGUUAGUUGUGAAAGUUUGCGGCUCAACCGUAAAAUUGCAAUUGAUACUGGCAGUCUUGAGUACAGUUGAGGUAGGCGGAAUGUGUGGUGUAGCGGUGAAAUGCUUAGAUAUCACGAAGAACACCGAUUGCGAAGGCAGCUUACUAAGCUGCCACUGACGUUGAGGCUCGAAAGUGUGGGGAUCAAACAGGAUUAGAUACCCGAGUAGUC